CAGUAGCCGCGGUAAUACGUAGGUCCCGAGCGUUGUCCGGAUUUAUUGGGCGUAAAGGGAGCGCAGGCGGUUUAGUAAGUCUGAAGUUAAAGGCAUUGGCUCAACCAAUGUAUGCUUUGGAAACUGUUAGACUUGAGUGCAGAAGGGGAGAGUGGAAUCCCAUGUGUAGCGGUGAAAUGCGUAGAUAUAUGGAGGAACACCGGUGGCGAAAGCGGCUCUCUGGUCUGCCGCUGACGCUGAGGCUCGAAAGCGUGGGUAGCGAACAGGAUUAGAUACCCCCGUAGUCCCUGUCUCUUAUACA
rnacentral:rRNA from 1 species